rnacentral:misc_RNA from 1 species
UCCUGAGGUGACCCAAAUUGCUGCACAAUAGGCAACGGAAUUCCAUAUGACACAGACAAGCGGGAAAUGAAUUUUCUACAAGGACGUCCAACAGGGAGAUCAGUAAUGGUUGAUGAAGCAUUGGAUGAAACCAGGGUGAGAUUGAGGGGAGAUGAGAACCCAGGUGGAACAUCCUGCCUUUCAUUAUCAGCACAACUAGCUUCAUCUUGUUGACAAUAAUUGCGAACACAAUUAGGGCAAUAACUGUUUUCUCUGCUUAGUUUGUCCAUGUGAUCCAGCAACUCAUUACCUAUGUCAGGUAGUGGUUUGUAUUCAGAUUGUUGUAUUAACCCAGACUGAAUCUUCUGCUCAUCACGCUGAAGAGAUCUUGAAGAUGGUUUUUCAUCUGCUGGUUGAUCCCAUCGGCUUUUACGCUUGCGAGUUUUCAUACCACCAACACAAGGUGCAGAACAGCCCUCAUGGACAGCAGCAUCCACUGAAGUUGUUGCUUGCUUUGAUUGGGUUGCACAAUCUAUUGCUUCUGUAGGCCUUACACACAGAUCGCGUGAAUAAUUCUGUGAAGCUGAAACCCUGUUGCUGAUUGAGCCUCUGUAAAACUCCAUCUUCCCAUCCUCCCUAUCCAUAUAACUAUAUUUCCUGCUAUGCCAAGGAAUCCACUUGUCUCGGAAAUUUCGUGCAAUUUGAUG